rnacentral:lncRNA from 1 species
GGCUUAUUAAUUUUAACCCUAAUAAGACAAAGGCUAUGAUAUUCUCCUGCCAUACUUCCCCAGAUGAUAUUGAAAUAGAAUUUCAAAACCAAUUAGUAGAAUUUGUCUCCUGUCAUAAACACUUAGGGAUUACUUUUGAUUCCAAUGGUAAAUUCCAUACACAUAUAGAAAAUAUUUUAAAGUGUGCAAGCACAAGAUUAAAUGUUCUUAAAAAAUUGAAAUAUGUAUUGAAUAGAAAUUAUCUUGCUCGUAUAUAUUUAACUUUUAUAAGACCCGUUAUGGAAUAUGCAUGUGAGUUAUGGGAUGGUUGUACUCAACAAGAAGCCGACAAUUUAGAACAUGUUCAGUUAGAAGCAGGGAGGUUAGUAACUGGGUUGCCCGUGUUUGCUAGUCGGGAAGCUAUAUAUUUUGAAACUGGCUGGCAAUUGCUUGUGGACAGAAGAAAAUCCAGAAAGCUCAAUAUGUUCUAUUCUUUACAUAAUGGGACUGCCCCUGAUUAUCUCUGUGAUUUAAUGCCCCCGCUUGUUGGUCAAGUAUCUAACUACGAUUUGCGAAACAGUAAUAAUUAUGUAGUACCCGGUUAUAGACUAGACAUAACUAGAAAAUCCUUUUUCCCAUCCACUACUAUUGAAUGGAAUAGCCUUCCCCCGACAUACGUACGUCCAAAAAUAUAAAUAUUUUUAAACGAAAGAUGAAGUCCAAAUUGAUACAGCCACCUUCCUAUUUUAGUUGUGGGGAUAGAAAACUUAAUAUCAUUCAUACACGUUUGAGAAAUAUGUGCAGUUCUUUAAAUUCAGAUUUACAUCGUGUUAAUAUUAAACCAAGUCCCGCAUGCAGCUGUGGCCACCCUGUUGAGGAUAGUAUACACUAUUUUUUAGAGUGCGCUCUUCACAACGAAGCAAGAGAAAUACUGUUUUCAAAAUUAGAAAGUUAUGCUAUAUCCAUUGAGCUUCUAUUAGCUGGUGACGGUGACCUUUCUUUUCAGCAAAACAAAGACAUUUUUGAGUCCGUACAAUCUUAUAUCAGAAUAACACAAAGAUUUAAAACAAUCAAUUAACAUUCUAAAUUUCUACUUUACAACCUUUCACUCCAGUCUAGUUGUUUCAUUAUUAUUCCUUAUUAUAUUGUAUUUUUUUUCUUUUUUCUUUUUAUUUCUAAUUUUUGUUUGAAGUAUGUAUUACAUGCAUUACUACUAUGUUGUUUUUUUUUUUUCGCCAUUAUCUAAUGUACUUUGUGUUUAUAUUUAUAUUGGGAGAGGACGUCUCUAAUGUUGUUAUAACUUGUGUCCAAUCCCUUUUGCUACUUUUGCAAAUAAAAUAUGUUUAAACUAAUAC